GUGUAGGGCCGGCCGGGCGCUCAGGAGCGCGCGGGGCAGCGGCGGCGCGGCGGAGCCAUCCGCGCUCGUGCCCGCGCGGGUGCGUUGCUGUCCUGGCCGCGCCCCUGUCCCGCCGCCUCCCGCUCCUCGCCUGGCGGAUGUAGGUUGUUGGCCUGAGGGGAGCUACGUAGCCGAGGUUUGCGCUGCCGCCGCCAGGCCCGGUCCGGUUCCAGCCUCUGCCCGGACGCUAGCCGGCCUGGCCAUGGCUGACCGCGGGUGCCCGCUGGAGGCGGCGCCGCUGCCUGCCGAGGUGCGGGAGAGCCUGGCUGAGCUGGAGCUGGAGCUGUCGGAAGGUGACAUCACUCAAAAAGGAUAUGAAAAGAAAAGGGCAAAGCUGCUUGCACGUUAUAUACCGCUUAUUCAAGGAAUAGACCCAUCUCUGCAAGCAGAGAAUAGAAUUCCUGGGCCCUCACAAACCACGGCCGCUGCACCCAAGCAGCAGAAGUCUCGGCCCACCGCCUCGAGGGAUGAGCGCUUCCGGUCAGAUGUCCACACUGAAGCCGUGCAAGCAGCUUUGGCCAAAUACAAAGAGAGGAAGAUGCCUAUGCCUUCGAAGAGACGUUCUGUCCUUGUGCAUUCGUCUGUGGAAACCUACACCCCUCCAGACACGUCGUCUGCCUCAGAAGAUGAGGGCUCUUUACGGCGACCCGGGCGACUCACCUCCACUCCGCUCCAGAGCCAUUCCAGCGUCGAGCCCUGGCUCGACCGGGUCAUUCAGGGCUCGUCCACCUCAUCCUCUGCAUCCUCCACCUCAUCUCACCCGGGAGGGAGACCCACCACUGCUCCCAGUGCUGCAGCCACGCCGGGGGCCGCCGCUACCACUGCACUCGCAGGCCUCGAGGCCCACACCCACAUAGGUGUCCCUGUGAACAGCAGAGUGUCCUCCAAAAUCCAGCAGCUUCUGAACACCCUGAAGAGGCCAAAGCGCCCUCCACUGAAGGAGUUCUUUGUGGAUGAUUUUGAGGAAUUGUUGGAAGUUCAGCAACCAGAUCCAAAUCAGCCAAAGCCUGAGGGAAGCGAGACGAGUGUGCUGAGAGGGGAGCCUCUCACUGCAGGUGUCCCCCGACCGCCGUCGCUGUUGGCCACCUUGCAGCGCUGGGGCACAACACAGCCCAAAUCCCCCUGUCUGACUGCCUUGGAUACAACUGGGAAAGCCGUCUACACUCUCACCUAUGGUAAACUUUGGAGUCGGAGUUUAAAACUAGCUUAUACUCUACUUAAUAAACUGACAAGUAAGAAUGAACCUCUACUUAAACCUGGAGACAGAGUGGCGCUCGUGUUUCCGAAUAGUGACCCUGUGAUGUUCAUGGUUGCAUUUUAUGGGUGUCUCCUGGCAGAGCUGGUUCCUGUCCCCAUAGAAGUGCCAUUAACAAGAAAGGAUGCAGGCAGCCAGCAGGUUGGGUUUCUGCUGGGCAGCUGUGGAGUCUUCUUGGCCCUGACCACAGACGCUUGUCAGAAAGGCCUCCCCAAGGCACAGACAGGAGAGGUGGCAGCUUUCAAAGGUUGGCCCCCGCUCUCCUGGCUAGUGAUUGAUGGGAAGCAUCUAGCCAAGCCCCCAAAGGACUGGCACCCUCUGGCCCAGGACACAGGGACUGGGACUGCCUACAUUGAGUAUAAAACCAGCAAAGAAGGCAGUACGGUGGGGGUCACAGUGUCCCACGCAUCCCUGCUGGCACAGUGCCGGGCUCUGACCCAGGCGUGCGGGUACUCAGAAGCUGAAACAUUAACAAACGUGCUGGAUUUCAAAAGGGAUGCUGGUCUGUGGCAUGGCGUGUUAACAAGCGUCAUGAACAGGAUGCACGUGGUCAGCGUCCCCUACGCGCUGAUGAAGGCGAACCCACUCUCCUGGAUCCAGAAAGUGUGCUUCUAUAAAGCUCGGGCCGCGCUGGUGAAGUCGCGAGACAUGCACUGGUCUCUCCUAGCUCAGCGGGGCCAGAGGGACGUCAGCCUCAGCUCACUGCGCAUGCUGAUUGUGGCCGAUGGUGCCAACCCGUGGUCGAUCUCCUCCUGUGACGCCUUCCUCAACGUCUUCCAGUCCAGAGGUCUGAGGCCAGAGGUCAUCUGUCCUUGUGCAAGUUCUCCUGAGGCGCUGACUGUCGCCAUCCGCAGGCCACCUGAUCUGGGAGGACCACCUCCAAGAAAAGCAGUCCUGUCGAUGAACGGUCUAAGUUAUGGUGUUAUCAGAGUGGAUACUGAAGAAAAGUUGUCAGUCCUUACUGUUCAGGACGUUGGUCAGGUGAUGCCUGGAGCUAAUGUAUGUGUUGUGAAGUUAGAAGGUACCCCUUAUCUUUGUAAAACUGAUGAAGUGGGAGAAAUAUGCGUCAGUUCCAGUGCAACUGGCACAGCGUACUAUGGAUUGCUUGGAAUCACGAAGAAUGUGUUUGAGGCAGUUCCGGUCACCACAGGAGGAGCACCCAUCUUUGACAGGCCAUUCACCAGGACAGGCCUGCUGGGCUUCAUCGGGCCUGACAACCUGGUCUUCAUCGUGGGCAAACUGGACGGGCUGAUGGUCACUGGAGUUCGCAGACACAAUGCAGAUGACGUUGUGGCCACCGCACUGGCCGUGGAGCCCAUGAAGUUUGUCUACAGAGGCAGGAUCGCUGUGUUCUCUGUGACCGUGCUGCACGACGACCGGAUUGUCCUGGUGGCUGAGCAGCGGCCGGAUGCCUCGGAGGAGGACAGCUUCCAGUGGAUGAGCCGUGUGCUGCAGGCCAUUGAUAGCAUCCACCAGGUGGGCGUGUACUGUCUGGCCCUGGUUCCUGCCAACACCUUGCCCAAGGCUCCUCUCGGAGGGAUUCACAUUUCUGAAACCAAACAGCGCUUUCUGGAAGGGACGCUGCACCCGUGUAAUGUGCUGAUGUGCCCUCACACCUGUGUUACCAACCUCCCCAAACCUCGUCAGAAACAACCAGAGGUUGGACCAGCCUCAAUGAUCGUGGGGAACCUGGUUGCUGGGAAGAGAAUCGCUCAGGCUUCCGGGAGAGAGCUCGCCCACCUGGAGGACAGCGACCAGGCACGGAAGUUCCUGUUCCUGGCUGACGUGCUGCAGUGGCGUGCCCACACCACUCCUGACCACCCGCUGUUCUUGCUGCUGAACGCCAAGGGCACCGUCACAAGCACUGCAACCUGUGUCCAGCUGCACAAAAGGGCUGAGAGAGUGGCCGCGGCUCUGAUGGAGAAGGGAAGACUGAGUGUUGGGGACCAUGUGGCUCUGGUCUACCCACCAGGGGUGGACCUCAUUGCCGCGUUCUAUGGCUGCUUGUACUGUGGCUGCGUGCCUGUCACCGUGCGGCCCCCGCACCCUCAGAACCUCGGCACCACACUGCCCACCGUCAAGAUGAUCGUGGAGGUCAGCAAGUCUGCAUGCGUCCUCACCACGCAGGCUGUCACACGGCUGCUCAGGUCCAAGGAGGCUGCUGCUGCCGUGGACAUCAGGACCUGGCCCACCAUCCUAGACACAGAUGACAUCCCAAAAAAGAAGAUAGCAAGCGUUUUCAGGCCCCCCUCCCCCGAUGUCCUCGCAUACUUGGACUUCAGCGUGUCAACCACUGGGAUAUUAGCGGGAGUGAAGAUGUCGCACGCGGCCACAAGCGCCUUAUGCCGCUCCAUAAAGCUGCAGUGUGAGCUGUACCCCUCGCGGCAGAUCGCCAUCUGCCUCGACCCCUACUGUGGCCUUGGUUUUGCCCUGUGGUGUCUGUGCAGUGUCUACUCGGGACACCAAUCAGUGCUGGUGCCCCCGCUGGAGCUGGAGAGCAACGUGUCCCUGUGGCUGUCGGCCGUCAGCCAGUACAAGGCCCGCGUCACCUUCUGCUCCUACUCUGUGAUGGAGAUGUGCACCAAGGGCCUAGGCGCACAGACGGGUGUCCUCAGGAUGAAGGGGGUGAACCUGUCAUGUGUGCGCACGUGCAUGGUGGUCGCCGAGGAGCGGCCCAGGAUUGCGCUGACCCAGUCCUUCUCCAAGCUCUUCAAGGACCUGGGCCUGCCGGCCCGCGCCGUAAGCACCACGUUCGGGUGCAGGGUCAACGUGGCCAUCUGCCUCCAGGGCACAGCUGGCCCGGACCCCACAACCGUCUACGUGGACAUGCGGGCACUGCGCCAUGACAGGGUUCGUUUGGUAGAACGGGGUUCUCCGCACAGCCUGCCAUUGAUGGAGUCUGGAAAGAUCCUCCCCGGCGUGAAGGUCAUCAUCGCACACACCGAGACCAAAGGACCCUUGGGAGACUCACACCUGGGAGAGAUCUGGGUAAGCAGCCCCCACAAUGCCACCGGGUACUACACCGUUUACGGGGAGGAGGCGCUUCAUGCCGACCACUUCAGUGCCCGGCUGAGUUUUGGAGACACACAGACCAUCUGGGCAAGGACCGGCUACCUUGGCUUCCUUCGGCGAACAGAGCUCACUGAUGCCAGUGGAGGGCGGCACGAUGCACUGUAUGUGGUUGGGUCUCUGGAUGAAACUCUGGAGCUCAGAGGCAUGCGGUACCACCCCAUCGACAUUGAGACCUCUGUCAUCCGAGCACACAGGAGCAUCGCUGAGUGUGCCGUAUUCACCUGGACCAACCUGCUGGUGGUGGUGGUGGAGCUGGAUGGGCUAGAGCAGGAUGCCCUGGACCUGGUGGCCCUGGUGACCAACGUGGUGCUGGAGGAGCACUACCUGGUCGUGGGAGUGGUGGUCAUCGUGGACCCAGGGGUGAUCCCUAUCAACUCUCGGGGUGAGAAGCAGCGCAUGCACCUGCGGGACGGCUUCCUGGCUGACCAGCUGGACCCCAUCUAUGUCGCCUACAACAUGUGAGCGCAGCACACCGGCCCAGGUGCCGGAGAUGAAUGAGCCCCAGCAGUCCAAGGUGUGAUGUGGGAAGACACCGCAGAGCUCACUCACCGGGACUCGCCCUUCCUGUGCUCUUACAGAUCCCUCUCAACAAUCCCCGCAUCUCCUUUUAGAAAGCACUUCCUGAAUUAUUUAAAGAAAUAUUUUGAAUCUGCCAAGUACAUUUACAAAAACACGGAUGCUGGUAUUUUAACAGAUGGAGAGACAAGGAAAGGAAAGGAAAGGCCUGGCAUGGGCAUUGUGAGGAAUCACAGGCACCGAGGUUGUUCUCUGCUGUACUGCAAGUUUGCACUUUCUUUAGGCUAAAAAUAUAGUUCCUGAUUUUUAAAAUUCAGUUAUUUAUUCCCACUUCAAAUGACAAGUUCAUAUAUAGAAUUUACGGGAGAAACUUGAGACCAUUUACGGGGAGAAACUUGAUUCUGGGAAGAUAGCAGAGUACAAACCAGCUGCCUCACUUCUGUUUCACAGGGAGGCUGAUGGAAAAAGGAAGCAAGCUGGACCCAUCCUCCCUGCUCACAGAGGGCACUGUGGUCACACACAGUGCCUCCUCUGCCAGUUCCUUUAUUGAAAGAGGUGUGCUGGCUGGCCACGGUGGCUUACACCUGUAAUCCCAGCACUUUGGGAGGCCGAGGCGAGCAGAUCACGAGAUUAUGAAUAUAGCUGAUUUAUUUCAAAGUGGUUCUACUGGAAUGAUCAGCAUAAACCAAUGGGGAGUACAUGGCAGAGAAAUAACUAACCUCCAGUAUUUGCCUGGUUCCUGCCACAGUGCUGGCCUUCAUGUUGGCAGUUCCAGAAGUGGGGUUGAGGGAGAGAGAGAAUACUUGAAGAAAUAAUGGCUGAAGACUUCCUAAAUUUGAUGAAAGACCUGAAUAUAAGCAUCCAAGUAGCUCAACAAAUUCCAAGUAAGAUGAACUCAAAGAGACCACACAGAUACCAACAUUUCAGAAGCCAAAGCCAGAGAAUUUUGAAAGCAACAAGGGAGAAGCAACUUGCUACAUACAAAGGAUCCUCAGUAACAGGUCCCCAAGCCCUGGGCCACAGACUGUUAACAGUCUGUUAGGUACCAGACCACACAGCAAGAGCUAGGCCCCUCUUCUGUAGGGUUGCUGCAGUUUGCUGGGGGUCUACUCCAGACCCUAUUCACCUGGAUCCCUCCUGCACCUGGAAGUGUCACCAGUGGAGGCUGUAGAACACCAAAGAUGGCUGCCUGAUCCUUCCUCUGGGAGCUCAAUCUCAGAGGGACACCAACCUGAUGCUGGUGGGAACGCUCCCGUAUAAGAUUCCUGACAACCCAUGUUGGGGGAUCUCACCCAGUCAGGAGGCUUGGGAUCCGAGGCCUGCUUAAAGAAGCAGUCUGGCUGCCCCUUGGUGGAGUGGGUGCACUGCACUGGAGGGACUCCUCUUUGUCCAAACUGCCCAGCCUCUUCAGAACCAGCAGGCAGGAAAGAUUAUGUCUACUGAGUUGUGGAGAUCACAGCUGCCCAUCCCCCUAAGGACUCCAUUCCAGGGAGAUCAGAGUUCUGUUUGUAAACCUCUGGCUGGAGUUGCUGAAAUUCCCACAGGGAGGCCCUGCCCAUUGACGGGGAAUGGAUCUGGGUCCCACCUAAAGCAGCAGUCUAGCCAUGAUCUGCCACAGCCACUGUGCUGUGCUGUGGGAAAUUCCUCCUGGUUCAAACUACCCAGUCUUCCCCGCACCAGCAGAGGAAAACGGCAGACUGGAGCUGCAGUGAUGGUGGCCGCCCCUCCCCCUAGGUACUCAGUUGUCUUAGGCAGUCUCUAGCCAGCUGCCACUAGCUGCAACCUGAGCAUCUGGACAGCUCUGUACUUGGGACCCAAGGCUCUGGUGGUUUGGGCUCAUGAGGGGAUUUCCUGAUCUGUGAGUUGCACAGAUCUGUGGAAAAAACAUGGUUUUCCAGGCAGGUAGCACAAUCAGUCACUGCCUCCCUUGGCUGGGGAUGGGAGCUCCUCUUGCCCCAUGGUGCUCCUGAGUGGUCCAUCGCUCCACCCUGCUUUUCCCGACUCUCCAUGGGUUGUGCCAACCACCUAGUCAGUCUCAAUGAGAGAACCUGGGUACCUCAGCUGAAGGUGCAGGAUUCACUCACCAUUUUCAUUCUUCUCAGUGGGAGCCACCAAUGGCAGCUGCUUCUAGUAGGCCAUCUUUCCACUUUGCUGGUAAUUUUUUUAACAACCAAGUGAAUAUGCCAAAUGGUAACUUGGAUCCACAGAAAAAGCAAAGAGAACCAGUAAAGGUAAAGAUAAUUAUAUAAUGGUAAGACUAUAAAUGCAUUUUUCCUUAACAUGAAUGAAUUAAACAGUUUAUUAAAAAGGCAGAGAUUGUCAGAAAACCUGUGUAAAAACAAGCAAACAAACAAAAACAAAAAAUAAGACCCAACUAUAUGCUGUCCACAGGAGAUACACCUUUUAUUCAAAGAUACAAAUAGACUGACAGUAAAAGGAUGAGAAAAGGUACAUCAUUCAAACAGCAGCCACAAGAAAGCUGGAGUGGCUAUACUAAUCUCAUACAAAAUAGACAUAACAAAAAAUUCCUAGAGACAUUUUAUAACUAUAGAAGGGUCAAUCUAUCAGGAAAAGCUAACAAUUACAAAUAUGUAUGCACCCAACAACAAAACACUACAAUACACAAAGCACACAACUGACAGAAAUAAGAGUUGGAGACUUCAAUGUCUCACUUUCUAUAAUGAAUAACCAAGCAGAAAAUCAACUAGGAAAUAAAAGAUAUAACAUUAUAAACAACUAGACCUAACAAACAUCUAUAAAACACUCCACACAACAAGAAAGUAUACAUUCUUCUCAACUGCACAUAGAACAUUCUCUAGAACACACCACCAUAUGCUAGGCUAUAAAGCAAACCUCUCUAAAUUUAAAAGGAUAUAAUACAUAAAUUAUGUUCUCCUACACAAUAGAAUGAAAUUAGGAAUUGAUAUAGUUUGAAUUUUUGUUCACUCCAAAACUCAUACUAAAAGUUAAUUCCCAUUUUGAAGGUGUCGGGAGGUGGGAACUUUAAGAGGUGUUUGGGUCAUGAGGGUUAUGUGCUCAUUAAUGGGUUAAUGCCAUUAUCACAGAAAUGUGUUCAUUAUCACAGGAGGAGUACUGUUAUAAAAGGGCAGGUCUGGCCUCCCCUUGCUCUCUCUUGCCUUUCCACCUCCCACCAUGGGAUGAUGCAGCACAAGGGUCCUGCCAGAUGCUGCCCCCUCAUUCUUCGAUUUCCCAGCCUCCAGAGCUGUGCUAAAUAAAUUUCUGUUCAUUAUUAAA